GAUGAACGCUGGCGGCGUGCCUAAUACAUGCAAGUCGAGCGAACGGACGAGAAGCUUGCUUUUUUGCUGUUAGCGGCGGACGGGUGAGUAACACGUGGAUCACCUACUUAUAAGACUGGGAUAACUUCGGGAAACCGGAGCUACUACUGGCUAAUAUUUUGAACCGCAUGGUUCAAAAGUGAAUGACGGUUUUGCUGUUUCUUUUAGCUGGUUUCGGGCUGCAUUAGCUAGUUGGUAAGGUAACGGCUUACCAAGGCAACGAUGCAUAGCCGACCUGAGAGGGUGAUCAGCCACACUGGAACUGAGACACGGUCCAGACUCCUACGGGAGGCAGCAGUAGGGAAUCUUCCACAAUGGGCGAAAGCCUGACGGAGCAACGCCGCGUGAGUGAUGAAGGUCUUCGGAUCGUAAAACUCUGUUAUUAGGGAAGAACAGAUGUGUAAGUAACUGUGCACAUCUUGACGGUACCUAAACAGAAAGCCACGGCUAACUACGUG
rnacentral:rRNA from 1 species